GAGAAUAUACAAACUCCGACAGACAGCAUUCAUUGUCAUGAUCGAAUUGGGGUCUCUGACGUUGCAAG